rnacentral:rRNA from 1 species
GACGAACGCUGGCGGCGUGCUUAACACAUGCAAGUCGAACGGAAAGGCCCUGCUUUUGUGGGGUGCUCGAGUGGCGAACGGGUGAGUAACACGUGAGUAACCUGCCCUUGACUUUGGGAUAAGUUCAGGAAACUGGGGCUAAUACCGGAUAGGAGCUCCUGCUGCAUGGUGGGGGUUGGAAAGUUUCGGCGGUUGGGGAUGGACUCGCGGCUUAUCAGCUUGUUGGUGGGGUAGUGGCUUACCAAGGCUUUGACGGGUAGCCGGCCUGGGAGGGUGACCGGCCACAUUGGGACUGGGAUACGGCCCAGACUCCUACGGGAGGCAGCAGUGGGGAAUAUUGCACAAUGGGCGGAAGCCUGAUGCAGCAACGCCGCGUGCGGGAUGACGGCCUUCGGGUUGUAAACCGCUUUCGCCUGUGACGAAGCGUGAGUGACGGUAAUGGGUAAAGAAGCACCGGCUAACUACGUG